UCAGGUUUGUUAACUGCGGAGCCUUGAAGGGAACUCCUCUUUAUGCAUCAUUUUUCAUGUACAUUGCAUUCAGUUUUGUCAAAGUCACCCUCACCUUAGAUUCUGGAUUCCAGAGCUUUAUUUUUUGUUUGUUUCGCUUGUAUCUUACUUCAAUCCUGUGCUUUUCAUUCCUCCUCCCCCAUCCUGACCUAAACUAUCAUCAGAAAAUGAUGGAGACCUGAAGACUCAAGUGGAAAAGCUCUGGAGAGAGGUCAACGCCCUGAAGGAAAUGCAAGCCCUGCAGACAGGUGAGACCCCCAUCUCAUCUCAGAUGAGAAAGGAAGAGAUGUUGUGAUUUGCCAUCGAUUCAAACCAUAUCGAGAGUACACGUCAAGUUCUAGGUAACUUUUUUUUUUUUUUAAGAGACCCUGGCAAACCAGAUGAAAGGAUCCAAAAGCUAGGGAGACAGGUGUUUUGAAAAAUCAGCUUGAUUUUCCCACUCCCUUCUCCUGUAAAUGGGUGGCACAGAAAUAAAAUCAGGCAUUUCAAUAACGCAUGUAGAAAGUUUGUCUGCUGAAAAAAAAAUUAAAAAAUGAAAAGUCUAUCCACAAUUAUUUUUUAACGGGCAAUGAAACGAAAUCAAAGCAAGUAUGAAAUAAUUAAAUAUUAAAAUAGUCAGCAUUCAUUAGAUGUUUAUUAAGUGCCCACGGGGAGAUCUGCCGAAGUUAAAAUGAGCACAGACAGGGAGGGUUCCCACGACUGGCUCCAGCCACACUGGCUGUCAAACGCCUGCAGAAGAGCAGUGGUUAGAACCACUGCUUGCCAGCAGAGGGCAGCAUCCAGCGUUCCUUCUCCCCCAGAGUACAGCUCCCAGAGCCCAAUGCAGCUGUACCCACCGCUGUCCAAGAGCCACUGGGCGGGGUUUCCCAGCAGCCAGGAAAUGAGAGCCACACUGGUAGGUUCAGAAACAUCGCUGGAUUGCAAAGUUCACACCCUCAGGAACGAAAACUCUCACAGCAACUCCAAAAGCAGAGCUAUGAGGGUCCCUCAAGGGAACCGCCCAAUUACAAGAGUUACUGCCUUCAAGAAAGACCCAUCGAGUCUUUAGAACUCCCAGGCCAGCUGUACGUUACAGAUCCUGUGUCAUUUUUACGUCUGUCUGCGGGGCACCAAGGUCCACAAGAAGUGCUACCUUGCUUCAGAAGCUUCGAAGCACUUCCACGAAGCCAACGAAGACU